GUUCCCUACUGAUCAAUUUCUUGGGACAUACCCCUAUCACUAAAGGACACAUGGUAAUCAAUUUGUCAAAAAGUCGAAGACCUCUGUCUUAAAGUGACUGUUUGAAGCGACUGUUUCUUUGAAAAAGAGCAAACGCUUAUAACAGGCAGCUGCCAUAAGGCUAUUGGUGCACUUCUCAACAAAAAACAUGCAAGCCAAGAGGGAACAGGAUGACAUAUUCAGGGUGCUAAAAGAAGAAGAAGAAGAAAAAAGACAAACAGGAAUACUAUAUCUGGCAAAGUUGUCCUUCUUUGGAGUGAAGGAGAGAUAAAGAUAUUGUAAACAAACAAAAGCUGAGGGAGUUCAACACCAUGAGAAAGGCCGUCCAGGAAGUGCAAAAGAGAAUUCUUCACUUUCAAAUGUCAUUGAGUAACAAAAGAAAAACACAUGAAAACAUAAAAGUUACUGGUUAAGGAGAGGAGGACACCAGACUCCUGAUGCUCAUUUACACAGUAAGUCAAGGGAGCAUCAAGAAGUGUACAGAAGUAGUUGGGGCAACAGCAGCUCAGCAUGGAACUUCAAGAAACUGCAAAUUUUGGUAUAUUGAGUUCUUGCUUGCACAGACUAAAUAGAAGAUGUCAAGUUUGUUAUGUGUAAGUUUUGUUGUUUGGCCAAGAUUUAGGAGUCUCCUGCCGUGUGAUGUACAGAUCAUGGUGGACUGCUACACUGUGGUUCUCUGCCUUCAGCUACUGAAUGAGACAGUUUGAGUGGCAGAAUGGCUGGUUGUUGAAGGAACCAACCGAAGCUUGAAAGUGGAAAUUCAAUAAAGGAAGAAAAUAAAUCCUUUCUACAACCACAGAUCAGCCAAAGUCAAGGUUUUGUUGUUGUUUGUUUGUUUGUUGUUGUUUGUUGACAAGGUCUCACACUUUAGUUCAGUCAGUUCCGCACCGAGUUUGUCCGGCCCCUCCCCAGAGUGUGGAUAAAGGAGGGUUGGUCAGGAGGUUAUGACCCGCGCAGCUGGCUGGAGUUCGGAAGCACAUGGAACCCUUUUUCUCUCCAUGGCUGCUUACUGCCCAGAGAGGCCAAGCCCUGUCUCAAACUAGAGGCUUGC
rnacentral:lncRNA from 1 species